GAUGAACGCUGGCGGCGUGCCUAAUACAUGCAAGUCGAACGGAAAGGCCCUGCUCUUGUGGGGUGCUCGAUUGGCGAACGCGUGAGUAACACGUGAGUAUCCCGUCCUUGACUUUGGGAUAACUCUAGGAAACUGCGGCUCAUACCGGAUAUGAUCUCUUGCUGCACGUUGUGGGAUGGAAAGUGUCGGCGGUUGGGGAUGGACUCGCGGCUUAUGAGCUUGUUUGGGUGGUAGUGGCUUACGAAGCCUUUGACGGCUAGCCGGCCUGAGAGGCGGACCGGGCACAAUAGGACUGAGAGACGGAGCAGUAGCCUACGGGAGGCAGCAGUGGAGAGUAUUGCGCAACAGGCGGAAGCGAGAUACAGCAGCGCCGCGUGCGGGAUGACGGCUUACGAGUUAAAAACAGCUUUCGACGGUGACGAAGCGUGAGUGACGGUAAUGGGUAAGGAAGCAACGGCUAACUACGUG
rnacentral:rRNA from 1 species